GACAGAGGGUGCAAACGUUGUUCGGAAUUACUGGGCGUAAAGCGUGUGUAGGCGGUCUCAUAAGUCGGAUGUGAAAGCCCCGGGCUCAACCCGGGAAGUGCAUUCGAAACUGCGAGGCUAGAGUAUCGGAGAGGUUGGUGGAAUUCUCGGUGUAGAGGUGAAAUUCGUAGAUAUCGGGAGGAACAUCAGUGGCGAAGGCGGCCCUCUGGUCCAGUACUGACACUCAAGUGCGAAAGCGUGGGGAGCAAACAGG
rnacentral:rRNA from 1 species